UACGUAGGGGGCGAGCGUUAUCCGGAAUUACUGGGUGUAAAGGGAGCGUAGGCGGCAUGGUAAGUAAGAUGUGAAAGCCCGCAGCUUAACUGCGAGGAUUGCAUUUUAAACUAUCAAGCUAGAGUACAGGAGAGGAAAGCGGAAUUCCUAGUGUAGCGGUGAAAUGCGUAGAUAUUAGGAAGAACACCAGUGGCGAAGGCGGCUUUCUGGACUGAAACUGACGCUGAGGCUCGAAAGCGUGGGGAGCGAACAGG
rnacentral:rRNA from 1 species